rnacentral:lncRNA from 1 species
AUGGCGAUGGCUCUGGAAAAAGCGGUACUUGCAUUUCCAGGUUCGUGCUCAUUUUAUUCCAUUAACAAACUCCUCCCAUUUUCCUUACAGCCCCGCCCCAAAGUUGAUCAGACCAAUCAGAUCGAGCUGACGUCAUGGUGUCCGAUGAACGGAGCUAACCAUUACAGCUCAAGGAAAGCAGAGGAUGGGUUAGAACAAAGUGGAUCUCCCCCCAAGAGGAUGUUUGCGCUCUAUCACCCGUCCUGCAACGGCGCCCUGGCCCUCUCCAGGACUGUGAGCCACAACAGCUCAGAUGAACCUUGCAGUCUCCCGGCAUCCUGCCAGCCCUUCCCUCGAACGCCCGGCCACCAAGUGGCUCCGAAGACGGACCCGUGCUCCCCGUUCUUCCUGCGCGACGUGGUUUCCUGUCCCGACGGAGUCAGGGAAGAGGGGUCUACCCUGGACAGGGGCCUGGGGGGCGGGGAAGCCGUGAGGAUUUUGGCCAAACGCGUCACACCGGAAGGGAAACUGCAGUAUCUGGUGGAGUGGGGGAACGUGAGAGCGUACUGAGACGGAGAGAGAGGGGGAGAGAGAGCAGAGCAGAUGACCAGUCAGUUUGUUCUAACAGACUGUGAGAAGCUGACUCAAAGAUGUGGUGGGAGGAAAAUAAGGGAAGAUGGAUCAAAAUAGGGUCACAUGAAGGGUCACAGUGAUGGACAGUCUUGGCUCCGGCCAUGAGGACACAAGAGGAAGUACCAAACUCCACGAGGAUCUCGAGGCUCUUGGCCAAAUACAGGCUCCACCCAUCUAGAUUUGUCCUUAUUUGCUCGACUUCCUCUCGUCUUCCUUCAGAAUGUCAUAUCCAUCACGCUCCUCGCUGGUCUUAUCUUAUAUAAUUCUCCCUUCAGUCACUGCAGUACGAUCAAAAUAUUUUCAUGAUUCUUACUCACCUUCUUUUGUUAUGGUUCUUUAGGUUUUUAGCACUUAGUCAUUUGAUUACUGUGUUUCUAUUAAAUAAAUGAAAUGAUUAUGUUAUUGUUGGACA